AGUGAACGCUGGCGGUAGGCCUAACACAUGCAAGUCGAACGGCAGCACAGUAAGAGCUUGCUCUUACGGGUGGCGAGUGGCGGACGGGUGAGGAAUACAUCGGAAUCUACUUUUUCGUGGGGGAUAACGUAGGGAAACUUACGCUAAUACCGCAUACGACCUACGGGUGAAAGCAGGGGAUCUUCGGACCUUGCGCGAUUGAAUGAGCCGAUGUCGGAGUAGCUAGUUGGCGGGGUAAAGGCCCACCAAGGCGACGAUCCGUAGCUGGUCUGAGAGGAUGAUCAGCCACACUGGAACUGAGACACGGUCCAGACUCCUACGGGAGGCAGCAGUGGGGAAUAUUAGACAAUGGGCGCAAGCCUGAUCCAGCCAUACCGCGUGGGUGAAGAAGGCCUUCGGGUUGUAAAGCCCUUUUGUUGGGAAAGAAAAGCAGCAGGUUAAUACCCCGCUGUUCUGACGGUACCCAAAGAAUAAGCACCGGCUAACUUCGUG
rnacentral:rRNA from 1 species